rnacentral:rRNA from 1 species
CACAACCUACGGGAGGCAGCAGUGGGGGAUAUUGCACAAUGGGGGAAACCCUGAUGCAGCGACGCUGCGUGGGUGAAGAAGCGCCUCGGCGCGUAAAGCCCUGUCAGCAGGGAAGAAAAUGACGGUACCUGAAGAAGAAGCCCCGGCUAACUACGUGCCAGCAGCCGCGGUAAUACGUAGGGGGCAAGCGUUAUCCGGAUUUACUGGGUGUAAAGGGGGCGCAGACGGCGAUGCAAGCCAGGAGUGAAAGCCCGGGGCCCAACCCAGGGACUGCUCUUGGAACUGCGUGGCUAGAGUGCAGGAGG